UACAGAGGGGGCCAGCGUUAUUCGGAAUUAUUGGGCGUAAAGGGCGCGUAGGCGGCCAUGCGUGUCUUCCGUGAAAUCCCUCGGCUUAACCGAGGACGUGCGGAAGAAACUGCAAGGCUCGGAGUCCGGAAGAGGGGGGCGGAAUUCCGUAGUGUAGCGGUGAAAUGCGUAGAGAUUAGGAAGAACACCAGUGGCGAAGGCGACUUACUGGACUGUAACUGACGCUGAGGCAUGAAAGCGUGGGGAGCAAACAGG
rnacentral:rRNA from 1 species